rnacentral:tRNA from 1 species
UCCCCGGUAGCUCAGCGGUAGAGCAACUGGCUGUUAACCGGUUGGUCGCCUGGUUCGAAUCCGGCCCGGGGAGCCA